rnacentral:rRNA from 1 species
CCUACGGGAGGCUGCAGUGGGGAAUAUUGGACAAUGGGGGGAACCCUGAUCCAGCCAUGCCGCGUGUGUGAAGAAGGCCCUCGGGUUGUAAAGCACUUUCAGUGAGGAAGAACGCCUGGUGGUUAAUACCCAUCAGGAAAGACAUCACUCACAGAAGAAGCCCCGGCUAACUCCGUGCCAGCAGCCGCGGUAAUACGGAGGGUGCGAGCGUUAAUCGGAAUUACUGGGCGUAAAGCGCGCGUAGGUGGCUUGAUAAGCCGGUUGUGAAAGCCCCGGGCUCAACCUGGGAACGGCAUCCGGAACUGUCAAGCUAGAGUGCAGGAGAGGAAGGUAGAAUUCCCGGUGUAGCGGUGAAAUGCGUAGAGAUCGGGAGGAAUACCAGUGGCGAAGGCGGCCUUCUGGACUGACACUGACACUGAGGUGCGAAAGCGUGGGUAGCAAACAGGAUUAGAUACCCGGGUAGUC